rnacentral:rRNA from 1 species
UACGGGGGGGGGCAAGCGUUGUUCGGAAUUACUGGGCGUAAAGGGCUCGUAGGCGGCCAACUAAGUCAGACGUGAAAUCCCUCGGCUUAACCGGGGAACUGCGUCUGAUACUGGAUGGCUUGAGAUUGGGAGAGGGAUGCGGAAUUCCAGGUGUAGCGGUGAAAUGCGUAGAUAUCUGGAGGAACACCGGUGGCGAAGGCGGCAUCCUGGACCAACACUGACGCUGAGGAGCGAAAAACCAGGGGAGCAAACGGG